UUAUCUUACGUAGAUACGUGUGCUAAAAUUGGAACAAUUCAAAGAAGAUUAUCAUGAGCCCUGCGCAAGGAUGACACGCAAAAUCGUGAAGCGUUCCACAUUUUU